UCGGACAUCAGGAGGUUAGUGCAAUGGCAUAAGCCAGCUUGACUGCGAGCGUGACGGCGCGAGCAGGUGCGAAAGCAGGUCAUAGUGAUCCGGUGGUUCUGAAUGGAAGGGCCAUCGCUCAACGGAUAAAAGGUACUCCGGGGAUAACAGGCUGAUACCGCCCAAGAGUUCAUAUCGACGGCGGUGUUUGGCACCUCGAUGUCGGCUCAUCACAUCCUGGGGCUGAAGUAGGUCCCAAGGGUAUGGCUGUUCGCCAUUUAAAGUGGUACGCGAGCUGGGUUUAGAACGUCGUGAGACAGUUCGGUCCCUAUCUGCCGUGGGCGCUGGAGAACUGAGGGGGGCUGCUCCUAGUACGAGAGGACCGGAGUGGACGCAUCACUGGUGUUCGGGUUGUCAUGCCAAUGGCACUGCCCGGUAGCUAAAUGCGGAAGAGAUAAGUGCUGAAAGCAUCUAAGCACGAAACUUGCCCCGAGAUGAGUUCUCCCUGACUCCUUGAGAGUCCUGAAGGAACGUUGAAGACGACGACGUUGAUAGGCCGGGUGUGUAAGCGCAGCGAUGCGUUGAGCUAACCGGUACUAAUGAACCGUGAGGCUUAACCUUACAACGCCG
rnacentral:rRNA from 1 species